ACCCAGUCAAAUUGGGGUCCUCCUCACACGCAAAGCACCUGUCGUUUUUCGCCACCUGGUUGUUGCUCGUUUUUCCCAUAAAGACGUUUAAGUUUAGCUCCAAAGCCUAAAUUUGAUGUUACAACGUUUUUCGUAAUGAAGAAAAUUCACGUGUGGAGGGACCACCGUGGAAUAAAAUAGGCGGCCCUGUUUCGUUGCUUGUCCUUAUGGAAAUUUAAAGUCUUUUCUGACAACUCGGGGCGGAUGAAAGGUCUGAGUGAGUUCCCAACCAGUUUCCUGGUGAGGAACGGAAGGUCAACACUCAACGUCAAUUUUGUGAUGUAUAAUUUCAUCUCACUUCUUAAGUAACAGAUUUGAACUAGCCCUAACCAUUCGCCUGCAGUGCACAGGGUGCCGUGCUUCAAUUUCGCCCAUAUGGGCUUGGAUUCUUUUAAUUUCGCCCAUACGGGAAGCGGUAAAAAGGAUAAACAAGAAGCCAGUAUGGGCAUGGAUUUUUUUUA